rnacentral:rRNA from 1 species
UACGUAGGGUGCAAGCGUUAAUCGGAAUUACUGGGCGUAAAGCGUGCGCAGGCGGUUUUGUAAGUCUGACGUGAAAUCCCGGGCUCAACCUGGGAAUUGCGUUGGAGACUGCAAGGCUAGAAUCUGGCAGAGGGGGGUAGAAUUCCACGUGUAGCAGUGAAAUGCGUAGAGAUGUGGAGGAACACCGAUGGCGAAGGCAGCCCCCUGGGUCAAGAUUGACGCUCAUGCACGAAAGCGUGGGGAGCAAACAGG